rnacentral:rRNA from 1 species
AGCGAACGCUGGCGGCAGGCUUAACACAUGCAAGUCGAACGGGCAUAGCAAUAUGUCAGUGGCAGACGGGUGAGUAACGCGUGGGAACAUACCUCUUGGUUCGGAACAACACAGGGAAACUUGUGCUAAUACCGGAUAAGCCCUUACGGGGAAAGAUUAUCGCCGAGAGAUUGGCCCGCGUCUGAUUAGCUAGUUGGUGUGGUAAAAGACGCACCAAGGCGACGAUCAGAGCUGGUCUGAGAGGAUGGCCAGCCACAUUGGGACUGAGAGACGGCCCAGACUCCUACGGGAGGCAGCAGUGGGGAAGUCUUGCGCAAUGGCCGAAAGGCUGACGCAGCGACGCCGCGUGUGGGAGGACGCC